rnacentral:rRNA from 1 species
AUGUUGCCGCGACCCAAAAAACAGAAGCACGAACCCGGAGGUCUGAUUGCUCUGGUUAUUUAUAAAACCAGUUUACUCCACCAGCAUUCGUUCAGCAAAAAUACCAGGACAAAUUGUUCCAUGCUCAUGGCAGACAUGGUGAGAUCAUCUGCCAUUCAAAUACAUCAAGACAAUUAUUCAUCACUGAAGUGGAGUUAUAUUACGGAUAUGGAGUGCAUUGCAUCGUCAUUUUGCACUAUAUUUAUCCGUGUUGCUGUGCUCAACGGAAGUGCUUAUGCUAUCGCCCUUGCGGUCUGGUCUACAUCGACACAUCAGGCUGCAUCUGUUUGCAUGAGCAAUUUUAUUGAAUAA